AGUAUGGGGAGACCAUCUACUCAUUUACACUGAUGGGUCAAAGGAGCAUGAGAGUGGUAAAGUAGCAGUGGGUAUUAGCAUUCCUGAAAUCGGGUACAGAAUAGGGUAUAGAGUCUCAGAUCAUCUGUCAGUAUUCACAGCAGAGACGGUGGCAGUCUUAUGGGCCUUACGAUGGGUGCAGGAUAAUAAACAGGGGUAUUCAAUAAUAUGUAGUGAUUCAGCUGCAGCUUUCAUUUCAAUAAAAGAAGGAAAAUCCAAGUCCAGACCGGAUUUAAUUGUGGAAAUACUACAGUCUGUGUUCAGAGUUUACAAGGCGGGGAGGGAGGUGGGGUUUCUCUGGGUGCCGGCUCAUGUGGGUGUGAAAGGGAACGAGGAGGCGGAUGAGGACGCAAAGAAGGCGGUGAAGGAGGAAACGGUGCAAAUUAAUUUGCAAUAUGGGGCACCCGAGUACAUGGAAAAAAUAAACAGGGCUCUAAAAGAAAGGUGGCAAAAUUCUUGGGAGAAGGAAGGGAAGGGCGUACUUUACAAUACAGGGAAAUGUAAAUAAAGAUAGGUGCACUUUUAGGUGCAUAAGAAAAGAUGAUGUAGCAAUCACAAGACUGAGGCUUGGACACUGUGGGCUGAGGAGUGGGCUGGCUCUGAUUGGCAAACACCCAGAUGGCAGGUGUGAGUGUGGAGAAAGAGAGACUUGUAAAACAUGUACUUCUCCAGUGGGGGCGCUAUUCCAGGCAAAGGAGGACUCUGUACCGGAGGCUUGGAUCAGCCGGGGAAUCAUUUUUUAAUUUGCGCACCCUUAUAAAUCUGGAUUCAGUGGAUAAAACAAAGGAAUUGAUGGACUACAUAUUACAGCCGUGUCCGUCUGUCCGUGUUACCCAUUGUGCCUUGCUCUACACCACCGUCGGGGGCCGGAGGUGUCUGCGCGUCCACAACCUCAGUCUGAACUGCAGCUCCCCAGCUGAUGGAGCUGUUCAAGAGCUGCGAGACGAACUCGCUCAUCAACUUCUUCUCCAAAACAGGCGGCUGAGUGCAGCAGGAAGCUCUUCAUCUUCCACGCCUCCAUCCCGACCGCUGAGGCUCCUGGGAAGUUGAAGAACCGAGACGAUAAGAAGCUGGUCAGCACGGACAAGGAGAAGCCUAUCAAGGAAUGCUGAUCUUUCAGCUGUCCAAGGACUGUGUAGCUCAGGGCUUCCGCGUGGACCUCUUCCUGUUCCCCAGCCAGUACCUGGACAUCGCCACCAUGGGGGAUGUGCCCGCGCACACCGGGGGCGCCGUCUACAAGUACAGCAACUUCCAGGAGUGUGUGUUUGGGUGGGUUGGUGGGUCGGUUGUGUGUGCGUGUGUGUGUCUGUGUUUGUGUGUGUGGGGGUGUGAGUGUUAUAUUGCUUGUGUGUUUGUUGCCGUGUUGAUGGGUUGAGUGUGAGUGUGUGUGUGUCUGUGCGUGUGUGUCUGUGCGUUUAGAACACAUUACAAUCUAUUUAAACAUGGAUGUUUUUGUGGCCCGAAAUGGGAAAACAAUCUAUUAAUGAAACUGUGGAUACUUUCUAGUUAGGCUAUUGUCUCUGGCUACAGGCCAGGCAUGUGCACUAGAAGCAGACUUUAGAUCAGAUGUAAAAAAACAACGCUUUGCUUUGCUUUAUUAUUAUAUUUACUCAGUAGUUGGCCUCAAGUGAUAAAGAAAGAGUAGCAAUUAAUUAGGAUUCAAAAGACUGUUUAUCACACUUUUUUGUUCAAUUUACAAUUGAUUUGAAAAUAAAACCAACACACCCACAAACUCAAAAUAAAAAGUAUGAUAUCACGUUUGCUGUAUUGUCGCAGUAAUUUACACACAAUACAUGCAUACACACAAAUAUGCACAUAGAGAAUCCCAAUGCAUUGCACACAAAGCCAAAUGAAAAUGUGUACCUUUUUCAAUAUUACCAAUGGGAACAACACUAUAAAUUAGCUUCUUUCAAUGUUA